rnacentral:hammerhead_ribozyme from 1 species
GCACUGCUGAGGUGUUCCAACCGGGACGAAACAGCUGUCCAGUGC